CCCCCUUCAGCUGGCGCCACUCAGUGCUGCUGUCGUGUCUUUCCUUCUUUACUCCACAGAAACAGGCGGGGAGCGAAAAUGAAAGAGUGUUGAGAGAGAGAGAGAGAGAGAGAGAGAGAGAGAGAGUUAGCGUCUACAGCUCUGAUUCCGGCUAAGGAUUGGGAUUGGGUACCUGCAUCUAAGGAUUCUUGGCAACAGCAGCUCCGCAGGUUCGUUUCGUUGUUAUGGGCAACAUCAACGACGGAAAGCAACCACUCUCAUCAAGUACAUCUGUUAUGGGCAUCAACCCCGAAACUGACAAUUUUUGCAGCCAUGUUGUAAGAAAGCGCUCACGUUUACACUAUUUGCAUCGGCAGCAGCUGCGUCUGGUAUUCCAGAAAUCAAGGGGAGUUUAAAUGGGGUCGGCAUACAUGGUGUCCUACUUUUCAGAACAUUGAUUGGAAAGAUUUUUGUGAGCCUUGGUUCAGUGGGAGGUGGUUUAGCUUUACGCAAAGAAGGUCCUCUUUAUAAUUAAGGGUGGCAGUUGGUGAUGGCUUCGAUUGCUGUGGUUGAUCUCUGAGCUUUUGAUUUGGUUGAAUGCACUGAGCAGGAACACUGUAUGCAUUGCAUCAAAGUCCGCAGCUGGUCAGGAAAUGUUAACAAUUCAAAGCAGCAGCAUAUAUUAUAAGGAACUCAAAAAGCUUCUUCUAUGAUGUAAACUUACCAGCAAAAUUGGCAGAGCACAUAUAAUGCUCUCUCUAUUCAACAUAGCCUUCUGCUCUCCACAAAUGUAAUAAUAUAGGGAAAAUCGUCCAAAUAGUGUCUGAACUUUUCCAGACUAUUAAUUUUCAUACCUAUAUUUUGAAAAAUAUCAAAAUGGUACCUGAAGAUUUAUGCCUGACUCAAUUUUCGUACCUGGAGUCGCUAACGACGUUAAGUCCGUUAUCUUUUCAAGGUUAUUUUGUCCUUUCAGUAUUCAUAUUCUCCUUCUGACUUGAUAUUAUUGUGUUCUUCCUCUUCUUCCUCUCCGACCCCAAAUCCUCCUCGUCCCGUACUCUCGUCCACCACAAUUGUCCACUAUAACCCGAAUCGAAACCCCUCUUCUUCUUCUUCUUUUUCUUACUAAGCUCCUCACAAAACUCCUCCUUCCAGACUCAGACCCUCCUCCACCAUUGUCCUGCUUCCACCACCAAUCCCUCCCUGAACUUCCCUGAAUCCCCUUCCUACUAACCAAUUAUUUCUUACAAUCUUGCAGAUAAACUUUAUGGGCUGGCCGCUAUUACAAAUUCACAAUUUGCCUAUUUCCAUGUGCAUCUGAGGAUUUGACUUUACGAGAUAGGUCCAUAAUUGCUCAUUCUUCUUCAUUCGUGUAAUAUCCCUUUAAGAAUGUAAGGGCUGAUUAUAGUAGUUGUACUUACCAAUUCAUCAAUCCAUUGAAAUUUAGAGGAAGAUAAAUUCUUCUUCACCGUCCAAAAUGAAUAAUGAUGAUGGUGUGGUCUGAAAAGCUGAGAAUUUAAGCUUUUCUUCACCAGCAACAUAAAAUCUACUUGCAAUCACCACACUCAAACUCAUGCUCUCCUCUUCCAAGAUCGAACCAUUAUCAUCCAACUCCACAGCCACUUCAAGA